UACGUAGGGUGCGAGCGUUAAUCGGAAUUACUGGGCGUAAAGCGUGCGCAGGCGGUUUUGUAAGCCAGAUGUGAAAUCCCCGGGCUCAACCUCGGAAUGGCAUUUGGGACUGCAAGGCUGGAGUGCGGCAGAGGAGACUGGAAUUCCUGGUGUAGCAGUGAAAUGCGUAGAUAUCAGGAGGAAUACCGAUGGCGAAGGCAGGUCUCUGGGCUGACACUGACGCUCAUGCACGAAAGCGUGGGGAGCAAACAGG
rnacentral:rRNA from 1 species